GACGAACGCUGGCGGCGUGCUUAACACAUGCAAGUCGAACGGUAAGGCCCUUCGGGGUACACGAGUGGCGAACGGGUGAGUAACACGUGGGUGAUCUGCCCUGCACUUCGGGAUAAGCCUGGGAAACUGGGUCUAAUACCGGAUAGGACCACUGCCUGCAUGGGGGGUGGUGGAAAGCUUUUGCGGGGUGGGAUGGGCCCGCGGCCUGUCAGCUUGUUGGUGGGGGGAUGGCCUACCAAGGCGACGACGGGUAGCCGGCCUGGGAGGGUGACCGGCCACACGGGGACUGAGAUACGGCCCAGACUCCUACGGGAGGCAGCAGUGGGGAAUAUUGCACAAUGGGCGCAAGCCUGAUGCAGCGACGCCGCGUGAGGGAUGACGGCCUUCGGGUUGUAAACCUCUUUCAGCACCGACGAAGCGCAAGUGACGGUAGGUGCAGAAGAAGGACCGGCCAACUACGUGCCAGCCGCCGCAGUAA
rnacentral:rRNA from 1 species